AUCGUGGUUCCGUUCGCUCCUCUGGGGCAUCAGAAUAGUAAUAUUUUCGGUGAUCAAGGGCCCCCGUGGGAAGAAGAGAAGACAGUGCUGGGCCUGGACACUCAUUCCGUCGUUUAUGGAUUCACUCAUUUCCGACCUCGACUGUUUCCUCCGUGCUGGCCUCAAGGCCCCCAGGCUGCGGUUCGCUGCCUGCAGGAAGCUCGUCGGAGGUCGCGACCAGAGCAGGCUGCGCAGUUCCGUCUCCAGCAAGAAGUUAACCAGAUGAGCUUUCAGGCAGGACCUGUACUUGGACAGUGGAGCUCUGCCACCUGCUAUAUGGUCUGGCUGUGUAAUUUUGGCCUCCUCCGCACAGACACAACUCAACACAAGCUGGAACGGGGUGAUCUGUCCUUUCUGCCAACCCCAGAGAAGACAGCUGGUGGCACUCCUCUUGGUACGUGGGGAUAAAGUGACUGACUGCUACCACUUGUACCCAGCUGCCUGAGACGAUUCUGUACAAGUCCCAGAAUUUCCUCCAGUGAAUAAGGACACCUGACGUGCCUCCAAGUGACCCUGAAGGGUAAUUGGCAACCCUUAGUCUGCCUGGCUGAACAAGGAGGGCGGCGCUGCUGCUGAAUGAGGUGUGAAAAGCACGGCAAGGCCACGUGGGAGCCUUGCUGGAGACCAUUGGUCUUGACAGAUGGGCCCUGCUGGGCCAGAAGGGGGAUGUACACGGCACGUGGGCACACACACACACCCUCACACACACGUAUAGGUCACAGCCCAUCACUUGCUUGUCACCUCCCCAAUCAGCUUCUAAAUCUCCCUGCUCAUAACAAGUGAUUACAGUCAGAAAGAUCUGAUUCAAAUUCCAGUUAAAAACCCCAGUUUAUAUUAUUAUGAAAAUAAUCUGUGGACUUGAGUUCUCAAAACCUG
ensembl:lncRNA